AACCUUGACGAAAGUAAGACUAAUACCCAAUGACGUCUCUAGAAGACAUCUGAAAGAGAUUAAAGAUUUAUCGGUGAUGGAUGGGGAUGCGUCUGAUUAGCUUGUUGGCGGGGUAACGGCCCACCAAGGCGACGAUCAGUAGGGGUUCUGAGAGGAAGGUCCCCCACAUUGGAACUGAGACACGGUCCAAACUCCUACGGGAGGCAGCAGUGAGGAAUAUUGGUCAAUGGACGAGAGUCUGAACCAGCCAAGUAGCGUGCAGGAAGACGGCCCUAUGGGUUGUAAACUGCUUUUAUAAGGGAAUAAAGUGAGUCUCGUGAGACUUUUUGCAUGUACCUUAUGAAUAAGGACCGGCUAAUUCCGUG
rnacentral:rRNA from 1 species